CAAUAGCGUAUAUUAAAGUUGUUGCAGUUAAAAAGCUCGUAGUUGGAUUUCGGGGCAGCCUGGCUGGUCCGCCACAAGGCGAGUACUGGUCAGCCGCCCUUCCUCUCGAAAGCCCCGACUGCUCUUUAUUGCAGUGGUCGGGUAGUUCGGGACGUUUACUUUGAAAAAAUUAGAGUGUUCAAGGCAGGCCUACGCCUGAAUACAUUAGCAUGGAAUAAUGGAAGAGGACCUCGGUCCUAUUUUGUUGGUUUCCAGGACCGAAGUAAUGAUUAAGAGGGACAGUUGGGGGCAUUCGUAUUUAAUUGUCAGAGGUGAAAUUCUCGGAUUUAUGAAAGACGAACAACUGCGAAAGCAUUUGCCAAGGAUGUUUUCAUUAA
rnacentral:rRNA from 1 species